GACGAACGCUGGCGGCGUGCUUAACACAUGCAAGUCGAACGGAAAGGCCCUGCUUUUGUGGGGUGCUCGAGUUGCGACCGGGUGAGUAACACUUGAGUAACCUGCCCUUGACUUUGGGAUAUCUUCAUGAAACUGGGGCUAAUACCGGAUAGGAGCUCCUGCUGCAUGGUGGGGGUUGGAAAGUUUCGGCGGUUGGGGAUGUACUCGCGGCUUAUCAGCUUGUUGGUUGGGUAGUGGCUUACCAAGGCUUUGACGGGUAGCCGGGCUGAGCGGGUGACCGGACACACUGGGACGGAGAUACGGCACAGACUCCUACGGGAGGCAGCAGUGGAGAAGAGUGCACAAUGGGAGGAAGCAUGAUGCAGCAACGCCGCGUGCGGGAUGAGGGCCUGCGGGUUGUAAAGCGCUUUCGCCUGAGACGAAGCGUGAGUGACGGUAAUGGGUAAAGAAGCACCGGCUAACUACGUG
rnacentral:rRNA from 1 species